rnacentral:rRNA from 1 species
GACGAACGCUGGCGGCGUGCUUAACACAUGCAAGUCGAACGAUGAACCCGGAGCUUGCUCUGGGGGAUUAGUGGCGAACGGGUGAGUAACACGUGAGUAACCUGCCCUGGACUCUGGGAUAAGCGUUGGAAACGACGUCUAAUACCGGAUAGGACCUUGGAUCGCAUGAUCUGGGGUGGAAAGUUUUUUCGGUCUGGGAUGGACUCGCGGCCUAUCAGCUUGUUGGUGAGGUAAUGGCUCACCAAGGCGUCGACGGGUAGCCGGCCUGAGAGGGUGACCGGCCACACUGGGACUGAGACACGGCCCAGACUCCUACGGGAGGCAGCAGUGGGGAAUAUUGCACAAUGGGCGAAAGCCUGAUGCAGCAACGCCGCGUGCGGGAUGACGGCCUUCGGGUUGUAAACCGCUUUUAGUAGGGAAGAAGGGCUUCGGCUUGACGGUACCUGCAGAAAAAGGACCGGCUAAUUACGUG